rnacentral:rRNA from 1 species
GUGCAGCAGGCGAGAAACCUCCGCAAUGCGCGAAAGCGCGACGGGGUUACCCCGAGUGCCGUCCGCUGAGGACGGCUUUUGCCCAGUGUAGCCAGCUGGGCGAAUAAGGAGAGGGCAAGUCUGGUGUCAGCCGCCGCGGUAAUACCAGCUCUCCGAGUGGUGGGGACGCUUAUUGGGCCUAAAGCAUCCGUAGCCGGUCUGGCAGGUCCCUUGUUAAAUCCAACGAUUCAAUCGUUGGACUGCAAGGGGAUACUGCCAGACUAGGGGGCGGGAGAGGCCGACGGUAUUCCUGGGGUAGGGGUGAAAUCCUAUAAUCCCGGGAGGACCACCAGUGGCGAAGGCUGUCGGCUAGAACGCGCCCGACGGUGAGGGAUGAAAGCUGGGGGAGCGAACGGAUUAGAUACCCGUGUAGU